rnacentral:tRNA from 1 species
GCCGGGGUGGCUUAGCCUGGUAAGAGCGCUCGGCUCAUAACCGAGAGGUCGCGGGUUCAAACCCCGCCCCCGGCA